rnacentral:lncRNA from 1 species
GAUGAAAUGUACAACCUGUACUCUAAUAUCAUUUAGCAACUUGCCACUCAUGCCACCAACCAGGUGAAGAAGGAACUCAUCUUCGUGCCACCAACCAGGUGAUGAAAUGUGAUUAAAGGUGAUGAAGAAACUCACCUUCGUACCACCAACUAAGUGAUGAAAGCAACUCACCAUUCAUUCCACCUACCAGAAGACGAGUGGUACAACUUGUACAUGUGAACUCCUAGCAUUCACAAAUAAUCAAAAACCCUCAAGCUUGACAACUCAACUAGGGGAGCACUUAUGCCCAACAAGAGUUAUAGUCACCAACAAAGUCUUAUUGCAAGCCAACAACAACUUUAGUGCAUGGCAUACGAAGAUCAAGCUAUUCAGCCCUCUUGCAUCUACUUCAGACAUUUCCCCUUUGUAACAAUGCAAACACUACAACUCAUAGAAAGCUUCACACACUCUUGAUCAAGACAAUGUGAAGCAAAACCAAUUUAUGGUGCCAAUAAGAGCUUUAUCAAAGGAGUUCAACCAUAACUCGUACAAAAGCUUCACACACUCUUGAUCAAGACAGUGUGAAGAAAAACCAAUUUAUGGUGCCAACAAGAGCUUCAUCUACAAUUCUUAAAAGCUUCACACACUCUUGAUCAAGAUAGUGUGAAGCAAAACCAAUUUCUGAUGCCAACAAAAGCUUCAUCAAAGGAAGGCAACCACAAUUCUCAAAAGCUUCACACACUCUUGAUCAAGACAGUGUGAAGCAAAACCAAUUCAUGGUGCCAACAAGAGCUUCAUCAAUGGAGGGUAACCACAAUUCUUAAAAGCUUCACACACUCUUGAUCAAGACAGUGUGAAGCAAAACCAAUUUAUGGUGCCAACAAGAGCCUUAUCAAAUGAGUUCAACCACAAUCCUCAAAGGCUUCACACACUCUUGAUCAAGACAGUGUGAAGCAAAACCAAUUUAUGGUGCCAACAAAAGUUUCAUCAAUGAAGGGCAAUUACAACUCGUAGAAAGCUUCACAUACUCUUGAUCAAGACUGUUCGAAGCAAAUUCAAUUUAUAUGGUUCAUCCAAACCUUCGACUACUACAAGGUGUGGCUUGCAUCACAAUCUCUUGCUCAACAGUGUGGAAGCAAAAUUUGUAUAUGUUGUCUCUCCCACAUUUUCAAAUUUCUAAUUUUCCCAAAAAAAAAAAGGAAAUUGGGAAAUUCAACAAAACUUCACCACAAAAGCUUCACCAACAAAAGUUUCACCAACAAAAGCUUCACCAACAAAAGCUUCAUCAAUGGAGGACAACUACAAAUUCUCAAAAGCUUCACACUAUCUUGAUCAAGAUAGUGUGAAGCAAAAUCAAUUCAUGGUACCCAACAAAGCUUCACCACAAAAGCUUCAUCAAUGGAGGACAACUACAAAUUCUCAAAAGCUUCGCACUAUCUUGAUCAAGAUAGUGUGAAGCAAAAUCAAUUCAUGGUACCCAACAAAAUCUUCAACUCCAAAGCUUCACCUACAAAGCUUCAACUCCAAAGCUUCACCUAUAAAAGCUUCACCCACAAAAGCUUUCCCCACCCACAAAAGCUUUAUCCAUAAAAGCUUCACCCACAAAAGCUUCACCCACAAAAGCUUCCCCCACCCACA